UCUUUCAGGUUGGCUGCAGAAGGGCCGAAGAAAGAGGAGUUACUGGAGGAAGAAGUGGUUCAGAGGUGACUAUUCAACCGUAUAAGAGAUGGUGAAAAUUAACCUAUCACCACUUAUUGCUAAUGAACACCACCCUAUGGAGAACCGAGACACAAAAGGGAAGAUUCAGAAUGUGUGACUUGUAUAAAAUAACACCAGUUUCCCCCGACCCCAACACCUUCUUUGAACAUCUCUUUCCCCACCUCUCAAAAAAUUUCCUACUGAGUUGGUCCUCUAGUGACAAGAGCAGUUAAUAAUAUGGAAAGCAACUGGACAUGGUGAUGAAUAUGCCAGCGAACUUGGGGGUGAGACUGAAGCCCCUCAGGGUGGCUGAGCUGUUAUUUUAAAAAUUCCUUCAAGUCACGUGCGGCCUGUCAAGAGAUGAGGUGAAGGAAGAGAAUGAUAAAUAUCUAUCUCCAGUGGAAAGAUGAUUUUGAAAGAAGGGCUGUUAGAUUAAAAACCAAGCUAGUCAGGGAAUGUUAAAGGAAGAGAAGGUCUCACAAGCAUUUUAAUGCCAACCGUGUGUUCCAAUGAGAGGAACACAGGAAAGCUCUUCAGCAGAUGAGAAAAUGAAAUUCGGCAUCACUAAUUCAUAGGAAUGAUAACAAAAACGGCAGUGAAGAAAAUCUGUGCAUUUUAAAGAACGUAUGUUUUUUGCUAAGUGUUGUCCCUUCCCCUCCUGGCUUUUAGUAUACUGCAUUUAUUAAAGUAGCUGAGAAAAAAAAUAGUAGAUGCUUUUAACGUAAGGCCCGAGAGCUUCCAUAUCCUGUGUUGCAUUGAGUUUUGGGUUUAUUUCCUUAUUCACUGUCUUCUAGAUCUCAGACCCUAGCAGAAGGU
rnacentral:lncRNA from 1 species